AACAUGUCUUCUUUCCACUGUAUACUGGAAUCAAAUAAAACAGUAUCUGUAAAUCAUCUAGGUGGGCAAUCAGACUUGCUCAAUUAAUGUUAAUUCCAUGUCAGUUGAAACAACAACAAUAAAGGAGACCAAACAUGAAGACUGGUAACCACCUGCUCCUGAGGUAUUGGUUUUAACCCAUUUUUUGUUUUGUUUUGUUUUGUUUUUUUAGAACAGGAAGGAAAUAAACAAAUGGAUACCUAGUGGGGAGUAACAGUGCUUCACUGAUGCAUGAGCUCCACAAACCUUCUUUGGGAUGGGGAUGCAAAGGAGAAGAGGACUCUGCUACUGUGUGGAGGACUGCAUUGCCUGCCCAGCCUUCUGAUGCACCAGGGCACUUACUGGAGGUACUGGGAACACAGAGAAAAAUCAGAGCAGACCCAGCCCAGAGGAGUCCACAACCUUGGAGGAAAGGUAAGAGAAGCAACGGCAAACUGCAGCCAGGGGCUCAGAGGAAGAAGUGGUACUGUGCGGAAUCACUCCAACCACAGGGCUCUGGCAGCCCUUGAUGCAGGAGCAGGCAGGAGACAUGAGGGUAGUCAGGGCUUCAUGGGGGAGAUAAGAAAGGCCCCUGGGGAGGGUGACAAGUUGAAUGGUGAACUUGACAACAGUGCCAGGACAGUCAAGGGGAGGAGCAUUGAGGCUCCUUGCCCCAGACUUCUGGGAAGGAAGCCCCAAAGCUGCUGUUCAGCACCUGAGGGAGAUCGCCUGGCUGUCUCUCUUCCUGCUAUAGCGGCCUCCUCAGCCGGGAGGUGA
rnacentral:lncRNA from 1 species